rnacentral:lncRNA from 1 species
UCCCCACACUAUAGAUUCAAAAUUUAUCUAUCCAUAAGAAAGUGAUCUAUAUACCAACCUAUCUGGAUCAAUCAUCAUCCCCAUAAUGAUCCAAUGGUUGGGAGUAAUUUAUGAAUUAACCAUCAAUGACACAUGCCUUAAAUUUUUAACUCUUUAGAAUAUGUGUCAUCAUCUUGUCAAUUCAUUGGAUAUUCAUGGACACAUACAC